GAGGCGACAGUCGUCCCGCGCGCUGUAGACGCCUGCUGAAAACGCGAGUUCGUACGACGGUGUUCCGAAGUUUAACCAAUUUGUGAAUAAAGCAAAACAAUUUGUGAAUAAAAACUGACUUGUGAGGUUUCUAUAAGUGGUUUGUGCUGGCAACGGAGCGGCGUUAAGACGGAUUUUAUUCUUAAGAUCCCGACAAAAGAUGCGAUGGAGCGCGGCAUCGGCGGUGAGGUGACGUCACACCGACACCGACCAUGCACCGGCUAGCGUGAGGAGCGAGCGAGACAGCCAGCCAGUUCGUAUGGAGAUGAACGGGACGGAGACACGGGCCGAGGAAGCGGUGACGCUGGUUCUGAGCGUCGCCGUCACCGUCAUCUCCGCUAUCGGACUGCUGCUCAACGCGUAUAUACUGUUCGUCAUUGUCAUUACUAAACAGCCAGCGUCAGCGUCAUCAGUCCUCCUGGUCCACCUGGGCGCAGUCGGCGCGCUCGCGAGCGGUGCUGCCCUC